AAUCUCCUCCGAAGUCUCCAUCAUAAUCAGCAGCAUCAGAGACAAUAUCUCCGAUUAAAAGCCCACCAAGCAUUCCGCCAAGCAAUCCAGUUCCAAAUCCCAGUCCCCCAUUACUCUUCUUCUGUGGCUUCACAGGCGGGUACCCGUAUCCCUGUUGUGGCGGUGGAGGCGGGUACCCGUAUCCCUGUUGUGGUGCAGGCGGGUACCCGUAUCCCUGUUGUGGCGGUGGAGGCGGGUACCCGUAUCCCGGUUGUUGCGGUGGGUAUGCACCAUUCGGCGCCGCUCCUUGAGGGGGUUGCGGUGGGUAACCGUACCCUGCCUGAGGCGGCGGGGGGUAAGCGUAAGGCACAGAGCUCGAUCCGGCUGCCAUAGGCGCCGGAUAAGCAGUCACGGGCUCGCCGGCCUUGGCGUGCGUUUUCCCGACGGUGGGUUCACUGAACUUGUACGAGAAGUGUAACUCGCCCUUGGGUUUUCCCGACGACGAGCGGACUUGGUAAGUAACGAACUUCAUCGAUUUGGCGUCUCCCGAGGAGGAGGAGGAGGAGGAGGAGGAAUCCAAGAGCUCCUUGAUCGGGACGAUUACUUCGCCGACGGUUUUAUCGCCGAGUAAGCCGUCGCUCUUGAUCUUGAAAUCGAGCGUGAGGCGAUUCUGCUGGGCCAAGGACUCGUUGAAGGUGAACUUAAUCGGGAAAUUCCACGUGGGGUUUGAACCGCCGGAUCGGUCCACGUGCGUCUUGACUUUCUGUUUCUUGAUGGUGUGGUCGCCCGAGAUCGAAACGACGGCGUACACGUCCAUCUUGGAGAUGAAGUGGACGUCUUUGAGGUGUUUUGCGGAGAUCACGUUGAGAUCUAAAGUUCUGUAAGAGGCCAUAAUUGCUAAUAACUUUUGAGAGAACUGAAGAUUUUUCAAAAGAUCGCUUUCUGCGGAUUGAGAAAAUUAGCGGAGGCUAUAACACGAUGCGGUGUAUUUAUACCGUCAAUGCGGACUUAUCCUCCGGCCUUUGUAAAAUACCAAGGAAAAGCAACAAAGUCCGCGUCAACGCGUUUGGUUGGGAACUGUGCGCCCGUAAACAACAUAAUAACAUUCAGAUCCAUAGCUUUUCCAUAUUUUUUCAAAUGACGAAAUAUUUAUAUAGUGGAUGAGGUCUUUGAUUCUCAUUCAAAAACUAUUUCUUAAAAACAAUUAAACAACUUAACUGGUUCAAGACAUUUCAAUAGGGCAUAGGGACAUAUUUGACAUUAAUGUAUAAAAUAUAACAUUAUUUAAGAAAGUAUAAAAAGUAAGGGACCCUUUUUCGUUUUUGGGAAAUGAGGGACCCAGAUUUGAUUGUUUCUUUUGCGCCCUGACUUAACCAUGGUUAAGUAUGUUGUUUUUUUUUUUCCGGGGCGGUUAGUAAAUUCUUUAGAUUAUUCUCAAGUUGUGUGGAAGUGGAAUGGUCUGCCAUUUGACUGUUAGAUAUUUGUUGUAUUUUAUUUAUAAAUUCUAUAGUUUGCCGAAACACGAGAUCGAAUCGUAUAAGAUUCGCAAUGGAAUCAAGUACGCUAUUCCCACCAAAUUCUGAAAACGUCCAAGCAAAAUUGAAUGUCGGAACUGAACCUGAAAGUAGCUGUAAUCUUUAAAUCAUGCUUUAUUAUUUUGUGGGUGUUGGCUUGGUACUGUAAGGCGGGCGCCUACCUUCCCCUGUAAGGCCAAGGCACCUGCCUUCCCAUUGUAAAUCAUAAGAAAUUGUCAACGUCACACCAAUUGGACGCGGUCGGAGCUUUGAUAUUCUUUUCCUAUCAUAGAAUUUCUAGAUUACAAUCACGAUAACGAUUGCUUUUGCGUACCAAUGACGGAUUCCUAUUACCAACUUUCUUAGCUCCCAAGUAAUUCAAAUCAGUCUUAAACUUCAAUUUGCUAUGUGUAUAUUAACUUCUAAUAAAAAUCAUAGGUGCCUAGAUCCAAUCUUCAGAGUGUGAUGGGCACAUAUCCUCAUGACCUUUUCAAGUCGGCCACAAUUUCAUGCCAUCUCAUCAAAAGGCUCAACAUCUGAUCCGAGAUGUCUAUGCUCACGGGAAAGAUGAGCAACCAUUCACGUGAUUAUUGAUGAUGCUCUUUGCCACAAUCUGCUCUGUGCUUGUACUUUCUUGCCCACCCGACAUAGAUUUGACAUGGGGUGUCUCAUUAUGAACAAUGGUAGCCCCAUCAUCCAGAUGCUUCUUCAGACAUGAUUUUGGCUGGACACUUGGGUGCCACAAUUGAUGCCGAGGCGCAAUAGACCUUGGUUUUGUUGAUUCACCAGUUGUCACUUGCUUCUUCACCCGUGGAGCUUCAUUAGGGACUUUAACAACAAGCUACUUGUCCAGUCAAAGAAGUGCCGAGGAUGAAGCUUCCGGGGCUUGCAAGUAAUAUUCUACUUCCAUAUUGCCAAAUAGGGGUCUGUUUUUAACCGCAUGAGCAAAUGCUGCCUCAGCGUCAGAUUUGCAUUUGAACCGAACCUGGCAGGUUGAGGAUCUCCAGAACACGCAAGGAGGAGAAUGAAGCUGUCCGAAACGUGCACAACUUGCUUUCAGCUAAACAGAGGGCAAAGCUGAUUGACUCGAGAAUUGUAUCACUAUCAUUUUGGGCUCCCUGAACUUUCUUGAAGUAUCACGCUUCUUCUGCGAAUACUUUCUCCGUUUUUCCUGGACUUUCAAGCUCAUCCGCGCACCCCUUCUCAGAGGUUUUUCAAGUUUCCUAUCGCCAGCCUCUGUCUUUUCUUCACUCAACAAUUUCAGCUCAUUCAAUCUUUUUGGUUCUUCCACAGACAUUUGUUCAGGACCUGUAAUGCUGCCGGUUAGUCCCGCAUUUCUAUAAUCGUCAGCUUUGAGCCGUUUUUUUGGGGGCCUUUAAAGCAGAAGGCAGGUCUUGAGCAGUCCUGCUGUUAGGACUCUUAGCAGCCAUACCACAGACCAUUGACUUAGUGGGACAACUUUCAAUUGUUCCAGACUCUGCUGCUGGGAUGACAGCCACUUCACAUAGACGACAGAUCUGUAUUCCAGGAAGAACUGCAGCAUGGUUGCGGGGAUAUUUUGUCGCACACUUUGAAAUGGAUUAUGAGCAAGAGCUGACAGAUAAUCAAGUAACUGAGAAUGUUUGCUAUUAACUUGUAAACCAUCUAUCUUCUCUCUAGCCUUGAAAUUUGAGGAAAAGGUGCCACAGGCUCCUUCGCCUGAUUCUCUUUUUACCUUUUUAUGACCAUUGUCCCAAUAUAUACAAUGAGUGUAACAUAUAGGUUGAAUUAUUUGCAAGCAAAUAGCAGCCCUUGCAAGAGCCAAUGUCAGAUUGAAGCAUUCGUCACAAGGACAAGCUCGAUCUAUUAUUAUUGUAAUUAAAGAGGCAUCGAUGAUACCUAUAUUUCAUUAAUAUAUAUAUAUAUAUAUAUAUAUACAUACAUAAUAUGGAGAAGUUUGCACAGCAGAGUCUGUCCCCCUGUUGAGUGAACCCACUACUCACUCAAAAUCACCUUUUGUUUGCUGCUCUAACAGUCCUUUUCACUUCAAUUAAACAUAUUUAAUAAUUCGCAAAUUGAAUUGCACAGAUUAUUAUUAGAUUAAAGAAGCUAUUUGUAUGUUCAUAAUUUAUUGGUCCAAUAAAGUCAUAAUAAAUACAUUUUCACCAAUCAACCACCAUUUCAGUCGAUAGGCGCUGCUCACGUCUUUCAAGCAACAAUCUUCCGUCAUUGGGUACUCCAUCAUUAUCAUGUAUAUGAGUGAGACUCUUAUUAAUUAUCACUUUCCAUGUAAAAGAAUAAACAAACACUCAUUGAUUUUUUUCUCUUUUCGCAUUUCAAGAGUGAAAAACAUAUGCAAGCAAACAGAAGCACGCAGUGCAAAUUUUGGAAUGCCAGUACCACCCACGCUUGUCAAUGCUGCACGUGAGGAGCAGUUGGGCCUAAAUGCAGUCCAAAUGGGCCCCUAAUGAAUGAAAAAAGUGGGACCACUUGCAUUUUACCAACUCUAAAAGCGACCCGCUUUGUCCAAUCACGAAGGCCCAUAUGAGACAAUAGCUAACCACCACCACCACCUCGCUAGAGCAACCACUGCGUGGAGAGUUUUCGUAAAUGAAAAUUAAAAAAAAAAAAUUUAAAAAAAUUCAGUUGAAUGCUAUCUAGUGUCUAUAUAUAUGUAUAUGCAAUUGAAUCUGGUUAAGUUGAAAAUUAGAUUUUGGUGAAAGCCAAUGAAUGGUCUAUCAAUUAUUAAUAAUGAGAAAGUGAUAAGUAUCCAAUUCUUGUUACACCAAGUAAUGGAAUCUAUUUAAUAAGCAUGGAAGCUAGCGAUCGAUAUUUGAUCAUUUGGGUUUUGGUUUAAAUGAUCAUAAGUAAUGACUCCACCGAACAGGGACCACUAAAUAAUAUGAAAUGUGGUACCAACCCUUAACCUUAAUUGCACAAAUGAACUUAAAUUAUGACGGAUUGAGACCGUUUAACAAAUAUUUUUAUUGUCUUAACCUUGCUACGACCGAUAUAACUAACACGGAAGUGGGGUUCAUGUCUUAACCUUGAAUUGUUUGAAGUGGGGUUCAUGUCUGGGUAUUUAAAAAGUUCAAAAAAUUCUUCACACACAAAUCUAUUUCUUGGUUUGGCUUGUUUGACUGUUUGAGAGAGGGGGGGAAAAAAAUUGACAGCACCGAGUUACAGCUGAAGAGAAUAUUCCAUGUACAUCAUAGGAAAGAUUGAUGGAAUGUUUUACAUGAAGUCUGUCAAAUACUUGGAUAGUGGCUUUUUUAUUAUUAAUUAUAUAUAUUUACAUAUAAGUCAAAUUCGAUUGUACAUGAAUUAACGGAGUGAGUCAUGCGACAGCAAUGUUUACUAUGUGUAAUAAUCUAUUAUAUCAAACAAAUAGGUCGUGUAGUGAAGAAAAAUGGUAAUCAAAUUAGUUACUCAAAAGGUCACGAUUCCACAAAUCAAAUAAUCAACCUCACCUGACAUGGAGUUGAAGUGCGGUUCAUGUUUGGUUCUGUCAAGUGGUAGACAAAAGUUUUUGGUUUAUAUGAAAGGGAUCCUAAAUCAGAAUAUCAAUGAGAAUGAGAUCCAAGUAAAUUUCACGUGUGGCACAUUCACAGAUGUUGGAAGAGUCUGGUUUCACACAAUGUCAGCAAGAAAAUUCAUUUUACAAGAAUCCAUCGGUUGCCGAGGGUCGUCACUUUUGCUGACAUAAUUCUCAACGUUAAAUUUUUGUUUUUUUUCCUGCUACUGUUUAUUGCCUUUUCUGUAUUGGUUUACAAAGAAAGCAUCAUUGUCACUUCGAGGAGGAGUUGACACAAAAAGAAUUCAAACAAAAUAUGGUGGCUGAUGAAACCCCAUGACCCCUUUAGAAUAAUUGCUUUAAACUUGAAGCAACUUUAACAAUUGUCCGCAAUUUAAUUAAGUUAAAAGUGCAAAAGCAAAAUAUUCUUAUCGUUCGACAUUUUAUUCUUUAGAUGCAAACGCAAUUUUUGCAGAAAGUAACAAACUAAGUAAAACUCAAAAUUCUAUUAACGGUGCAUUUGAUAUUGAGGUUGGAUUUUUGUAAUUUAAGUUACAACACUAAAGUGUUUGGUAAAUAUAGUUUGGAAGCUGCGUUGAUAUGAUUUUUUACUGGUAUAAUAGAAAAUCUAUUAUAUCUUUAAUAAUUUUGUCAAAAUCAUUAUUUAAAAUUUAUAUUUACUACUUGUUGUUAAUUUUUGUUUCCUAAUUAUAGUUUUUUUUUCUAUAACAACUGUAAUUUAAAAGUUAUAUCACCUAAAUUCUAAUUAGGACCUAAGAGAACAUAAAAUAUAAAAAGUAAAAAUUCCCAAAAAUCUCCUCCAUCAAAAUUAAGUAGCAGUAGAAAUAAUAUCCUAUCAUAAAACCCAAAACAUUCCUCCAAACAAACCCAACCCCAACCCCCCCCCCCCCCCCCCCCUUUCACAUUCCUCCUUCAUAUUGUAGUCAUUCUCUCAUAUGCAUUCUGUGUCAACAAAUUAAAUCAUUCUAAUUAUAGAUAAAAUUUUACUUUAAACUUCAAGCAACUUUAAAAAUUGUCCGCAAUUUAAUUAAGUUCAAAGUGCAAAAGCACAACAUUCUUAUCGUUCCACAUUUUAUUCAUUAGCUUUUUCAAGAAUUAACAAAGUAAAACAUAAGAUCCUACUAAGAGAAUAUAAGAUAUAAAAAGUGAAAAUCCCCAAAAUCUCCUCCAUUACCAUAAAAAAUGAUAUCUUAAAAACCUCAAACAUUCUUCCGCACAAACCCAGCUCCAAACCCCAUUCCCCACGUUAUUCUUUAAUAUUAUAGUCAUUCUCUCAUAUGCAUUCGUGUCAAAAAAUUAAAACAUUCUAACUAUAGAUAAAAUUUUGCGACUUAGGCUCCCAAACCAAAACCAAACCUUAACUUAUUGACAUCCAACGGAUAAUCUCACUUGAGGUUCAUUCACAUACAAUACUUUUCAAGAGCCUAGUUUGGUUUGCCUCAAUGGUAGCAAGAAAUUUUAGAGACAAGAUUGAACAAGCACCCAUCAUUUAAUCCUAAGUGCUAUAGUUAAGUUCAUAACAUUGCCAUUUUUAUUCAUGUGUGUAGAGAACAAAAAGAAUUCAGAGGCCCAAGCGAAAGCAACAAUAUCACUUCAAGAAGGAUCCCAACAACGGCCAUAACAGCACCCCAUGGCCCCUUCAGAAUAGUGAAGUAAUAAACUUGAAAGCUGCUUUAAAAAUUUCCCAUUUAUGUAGUACAUAGAUCACAAAAUUUGAGUGUACAUAAACAUUAAAUCGCUCAUUUUCAUUGACAACCAUUAAAGUGCAAAGCAAAAUAUUCUAUAUGUACAUUCCACAUUUUAUUCUUAAUGUACGUAAGGAAAAGCUAAUAUAUAUAACAAAGAGAAAAGUAAAAUCCAAAAUAACUAAGUCCAAAUACCAUAUGGUAUUUAAAAAAAAAAGUAGUCAAAAUACCGUAAUAAUAAUAAUAAACUAUUAAACUAUCUAAAAAAUUAGCAGAAAAUAAAAUUCAAAAAUCAAAAUCUCCUCCGAAGUCUCCUCCAAAAUCUCCAUCAUAAUCAGCAGCAUUAGAGACAAUAUCUCCAAUUAAAAGCCCACCAAGCAUUCCGCCAAGCAAUCCAGUUCCAAAUCCCAGUCCCCCAUUACUCUUCUUCUGUGGCUUCACAGGCGGGUACCCGUAUCCCUAUUGUGGCGGUGGAGGCGAGUACCCGUAUCCCUGUUGUGGUGCAGGCGGGUACCCGUAUCCCUGUUGUGGCGGUGGAGGCAGGUACCUGUAUCCCGGUUGUUGUGGUGGGUAUGCACCAUUCGGCGCCGCUCCUUGAGGGGGUUGUGGUGGGUAACCGUUCCUUGCCUGAGGCAGCGAGGGGUAAGCGUGAGCCAUCGGCGCCGGAUAAGCAGUCACGGGCUCGCCGGCCUUGGCGUGCUUUUUCCCAACGGUGGGUUCAUUGAACUUGUACGAGAAGUGUAACUCGCCCUUGGGUUUUUC
rnacentral:lncRNA from 1 species